CGGAGGAGGCAUGUGGUUUAAUUCGAUGAUACGCGAGGAACCUUACCUGGGCCCGAACGUAAGAUGACUGUAGGUGAAAGCUUACAUCUCUUCGGAGCAUUUUACGAGGUGCUGCAUGGUUGUCGUCAGCUCGUGCCGUGAGGUGUCGGGUUAAGUCCCAUAACGAGCGCAACCCCUACCUUUAGUUGCCAUCAGGUUAAGCUGGGGACUCUAAAGGAACUGCCUACGCAAGUAGUGAGGAAGGCGGGGAUGACGUCAAAUCAGCACGGCCCUUACGUCCAGGGCUACACACGUGCUACAAUGGCCGAUACAGAGGGCAGCUACCUGGUGACAGGAUGCAAAUCUCCAAAGUCGGUCUCAGUUCGGAUCGGAGUCUGCAACCCGACUCCGUGAAGUUGGAUUCGCUAGUAAUCGCGCAUCAGCCAUGGCGCGGUGAAUACGUUCCCGGGCCUU
rnacentral:rRNA from 1 species